UGUCAGCCAGUCUGAGAAAUAAAGAGAAAGAGCACAAAGAGAGGAAUUUUACAGCUGGGCCUCCAGGGGUGACAUCACAUAUCGGUAUGACAGUGAUGCCCACCUGAGCCACAAAAUCAGCAGGUUUUUAUUAAGGAUUUCCAAAGGGGAGUCAAACUUAGCCUGUGUACAUUUAUCCAUAUGCAUUUAUUGCUAUCCAGGUUAUUGCAACGGAGUAGCAGUUUUCAAGGGGGCAGGGGUUGC
rnacentral:lncRNA from 1 species